rnacentral:rRNA from 1 species
GAUGAACGCUGGCGGCGUGCCUAAUACAUGCAAGUCGAGCGAACAGAUGAGGAGCUUGCUCCUCUGACGUUAGCGGCGGACGGGUGAGUAACGCGUGGAUAACCUACCUAUAAGACUGGGAUAACUUCGGGAAACCGGAGCUAAUACCGGAUAAUAUAUUGAACCGCAUGGUUCAAUAGUGAAAGACGGUUUUGCUGUCACUUAUAGAUGGAUCCGCGCCGCAUUAGCUAGUUGGUAAGGUAACGGCUUACCAAGGCAACGAUGCGUAGCCGACCUGAGAGGGUGAUCGGCCACACUGGAACUGAGACACGGUCCAGACUCCUACGGGAGGCAGCAGUAGGGAAUCUUCCGCAAUGGGCGAAAGCCUGACGGAGCAACGCCGCGUGAGUGAUGAAGGUCUUCGGAUCGUAAAACUCUGUUAUUAGGGAAGAGCAAAUGUGUAAGUAACUAUGCACGUCUUGACGGUACCUAAUCAGAAAGCCACGGCUAACUACGUG